rnacentral:rRNA from 1 species
AGAAUCAACGCUGGCGGCGUGCCUAACACAUGCAAGUCGCACGAGAAAGGGUAGCAAUACCUGAGUAAAGUGGCGCACGGGUGAGUAACACGUGAAUGAUCUACCUCCGAGUGGGGAAUAACUGAGAGAAAUCUUAGCUAAUACCGCAUAACACUUACGAGUCAAAGCAGCAAUGCGCUUGGAGAGGAGUUCGCGGCAGAUUAGUUAGUUGGCGGGGUAAUGGCCCACAAGACGAUGAUCUGUA